AUUGAACGCUGGCGGCAUGCUUUACACAUGCAAGUCGAACGGCAGCACGAACUUCGGUUUGGUGGCGAGUGGCGAACGGGUGAGUAAUGCAUCGGAACGUGUCCUAAAGUGGGGGAUAACGCAUCGAAAGAUGCGCUAAUACCGCAUAAUCUCUGAGGAGGAAAGUAGGGGAUCGAAAGACCUUAUGCUUUUGGAGCGGCCGAUGUCUGAUUAGCUAGUUGGUAGGGUAAUGGCUACCAAGGCGACGAUCAGUAGUUGGUCUGAGAGGAUGGCCAACCACACUGGGACUGAGACACGGCCCAGACUCCUACGGGAGGCAGCAGUGGGGAAUUUUGGACAAUGGGCGCAAGCCUGAUCCAGCAAUGCCGCGUGAGCGAAGAAGGCCUCGG
rnacentral:rRNA from 1 species